AUCCCAUGAUGAGGAUAGGCGGCGACAUAUUCCUGCACCUUUCCCACGCUUCCAGGAUUGUUUCAUCUUUUGUCUGCUGGAAGCUAGAUAUUCUUCCAUGAAGGGC
rnacentral:snoRNA from 1 species